UACAGAGGGGGCAAGCGUUGUUCGGAAUUACUGGGCGUAAAGGGCGCGUAGGCGGCCUGUUAAGUCGAACGUGAAAUCCCCGGGCUCAACCCGGGAACUGCGUCCGAUACUGGCAGGCUUGAAUUCGGGAGAGGGAUGCGGAAUUCCAGGUGUAGCGGUGAAAUGCGUAGAUAUCUGGAGGAACACCGGUGGCGAAGGCGGCAUCCUGGACCGAGAUUGACGCUGAGGCGCGAAAGCCAGGGGAGCAAACGGGAUAGAA
rnacentral:rRNA from 1 species